rnacentral:rRNA from 1 species
CCCCUAGAUGUUCUGGGCCGCACGCGCGCUACACUGAACAGUUCAACAAGUCUUAACCUUGGCCGAUAGGUCUGGGUAAUCUUUGAACGCUGUUCGUGAUUGGGAUAGACCUUUGCAAUUAUGGGUCUUCAACGAGGAAUUCCUAGUAAACGCAAGUCAUCAGCUUGCAUUGAUUACGUCCCUGCCCUUUGUACACACCGCCCGUCGCACCUACCGAUUGAAUGGUCCGGUGAAAUCUCGGGACGGCGGCUUGGUCGCUUGCGUCCGACUGCCGAAACUUGAUUAAACCAUAUCAUUUAGAGGAAGGUGAANUCGUAACA